CUGGUUGAUUCUGCCAGUGCGGAUAUGCUCAUCUCAAGGACUAAGCCAUGCAUGCCAUAGUUCAAGCCUUAAUAAGGUGAGACUGCGAAUGGCUCAGUAUAUCAGUUAUUAUGAAAUCGAUUUAUAGUGUAAUUACUUGUACGGAUAACUGUGGUAACACUAGAGCUAAUACGUGUAUUGUAGGUAUGUUUAUUUAAAUGUACUUGCAAAGCAUUUAUUUUAAAAUGUGAUUUAUUGAUUAAUUUCAAUAGAUUGCAAACCGACAUUGCACAUAAUAUGUGUUUCACGAUGCGUGUUAUGUGUGUAAAAGAUGAAUCUAAAUAACUGAUUGCUGAUCGAUAUAGACAUUUUAAUGUCAUCGACAUAUCGAAUCAAUAUCUGUCCUAUCAACUUGUUGGUUGGGUAGUGGCCAACCAAGGUUUUGACGGGUAACGGGGAAUCAGGGUUUGAUUCCGGAGAGGGAGCCUGAGAAAUGGCUACCACAUCCAAGGAAGGCAGCAGGCGCGCAAAUUAUCCAAUCCAGAAUAAUGGGAGAUAGCAACAAGACGUACUAAAAUUAGCCUGAUUAUCAGGCUAAUAUUUGGAAUGAACGAAAUUUAAAUACCUAAAUGAGGAACUACUGGAGGGCAAGUCUGUGCCAGCAGCCGCGGUAAUACCCGGCUCCAGUGGUGUAUCGCAUUGUUUUGCGUUUAAAACGCUCGUAGUUGAAUUGCAGCUUGCUACACUCGCAAUAUUAAAUGUGCACAAAGAUUACGGUGUAUGUAAACAACUGUUUGCAUGAUUAUUGUGAAAACUAGUGUAUACUUUAGUAUUGUGUAAGUUUUUGAUAUCUAUCAAUGGAUGUUAAAUAACUGUGUGUACAUAGCUUAAUAUAUUACAGAUAAAAAUUUGUAUCAUCUUUACUGAUGGUACAAUAAAUUAUUUUCAUGUUUGUAAAUAAUUUUCUGUAAUGUUAUAGCCUUGAAUAAAAUAGAGUGCUCAAAGCACGCAAUAAUUGCUUGAAUAUUGUAGCAGGGAACGAAUGUAUCUUGAAUAAAAGCCACCAUUAGGUUUAACAGGAUUGUUGGUCUGUAUAAAUCUAAUAGGUAUCGGUUAAGAGGAAUAUUUGGGGGCAUUGAUAUUUGACCGCGAGAGGUGAAAUUCUUAGACCGGUCAAAGAUCGACAAUUGCGAAAGCAUUUGCCAAGAAUGUUUUCAUUAAUCAAGAGCGAAAGUCGGAGGAGCGAAGACGAUCAGAUACCGUCGUAGUUCCGACUGUAAAUUAUGCCAACUCGGAUUUGAUUUACUAAAUGUAAUCUAGUACAUUAGAAAUCAGAUUCAUCGGGAAACCUAAAGUUUUUGGGUUCCGGGGGGAGUAUGGUCGCAAGUCUGAAACUUAAAGGAAUUGACGGAAGGGCACCACCAGGAGUGGAGCCUGCGGCUUAAUUUGACUCAACACGGGAAAGCUUACCAGGUCCGGACAUUGACAGGAUUGACAGAUUGAAAGAUCUUUCAUGAUACGGUGGAUGGUGGUGCAUGGCCGCUCUUAGUUCGUGCAGUGAUCUGUCAGGUCAAUUCCGGUAACGAGCGAGAUCAGCUUUACUAUUAUGGCCGUUUUGAUAAUAUAUUAUUAUGAAUUGUUGUGUGUCAAUUUGUUUGCAUAGAUCGAUUCGUUCAUGUGUGUAAUCAAGUCGAUACGUAAUAAUUUUGUAAUUUUAUGUGUCAAUUCACCUUCAUAGUAAGACAACCGGUGUGUCAACCGGUGGAAGUAUGGCAAUAGCAGGUCUGUAAUGCCCUUAGAUGUUCUGGGCUGCACGCGGGCUACAUUGAAAGUACCAGCGAGCUAACCUUUAUCGAAAGGUAAAGGGUAAUCUUGUGAAUUACUUUCGUAAUGGGGAUUGAACCUUGAAAUUAUUGUUCAUAAACCUGGAAUUCCUCGUAAGUACGAGUCAUUAGCUCGGGCUGAAUAUGUCUCUGCCCUUUGUACACACCGCCCGUCACCACUUCCGAUCGAAUGAGUCAGUAAGAGCUAUGGAUUAGAUUUUAUAUUACUUUAUGUAUGUAUCAUUAAAAAAUGGUCAAACUGCUAAGCAGAGACGGAAGCGACAG
rnacentral:rRNA from 1 species